UUGUGCCCUCAAGGGCUCUGGGAAGCUCCCUGGUUCCUGAGUCUGGAUCUGGGGCCUGUCCGCUGUGCUCCCGGAGCGCUCUGCGCUUCUCUCUCUCUACCGUGGGCUUGUCCUGUGCAGUUACCGUUCGUUUCCUUCUGCGACACUAGACUGGCAACACCCGGAGGGACCACCAUUAUGCAGAUCUUUAUUUCCAGUGGAGGUGUUGCUAGGAGACUGAGGAUCAUAGAAGUGAAGGAACUUCCCCUUGGAGGUCCCACAGGCUCCUCGAGUUUAAGCUCAACCGAGGCCAGCCAGUUCAGAAGAAAGGCAACUCAUUUGCCGUGUGACCUUGGGCAGACCCCAGACCCCACCCCUCUUUGGGUCUUGGUUUCCUAGUCUAUGAAAGAGAAGCUGAACUCGAAGAUUUUUCUGCACUCUCCGGAUCCCACAUUUUUUUUUUUUUUUUUGAGUAAUCUCUGUACCCAACAUGGGACUCAAACUCAAAACCCAGAGAUCAAGAGUCCAACGUUCUACUGGCUGAGCCAGCCAGGCACCUCCAGAUCCCACAUUCUUGAACUUAAGGCAGUGAUGGGUGGAACUAGGUACCCAAGGCCCAGAACCCUCAGGGGUUCCUGUCUUGUUAGAGAUGUGGGGCACCAGUCCUGAGGAGGAGAGGAGCAGGGAAAAUAGGGUUUGGUGUCUUGGAGGGCAGGGCCAGGGAAGCUGUUAUGAAGGAAGGUUUUUGGUUUAGCUCCUGGUAGGACAGGAUCUCUGAGGGUGGGUGAGAGGGAGGAGUAAGGGGUGCGGAGGCUAGAAAAGGAGCAUGUCUUUAGCUUACAGGCACAGUACCUAAUGAGGUGGGGAAUAAUGGAAUCACUUUGUAUCUAAGCCCUUGGAGAGCUAAUCUUGCUGAAUAGAGAGAGAUACUGAAGUCUAACAACAGAAGACUGGACCAAACUUACUCCAUAGGCCAGAGACAGAGCUGAGCAAAACCCAGAUGUCUGGGCUGAAGGUAGGGUCCUGGUGGGUCAUGGGACUUCCAAGGGCUGGGGAGAGGUUAGGGGCUUAGACUAAAGGUAAGAAGGGAUUUGAGGAGACCCAGAGGGCCAAGGGCCUAGAUGGAAGAGUG